rnacentral:tRNA from 1 species
GCGAGUGGUAGCGCAGAGGUCGACGCGCCGCCCUGUCAAGGCGGAGGACGCCGGUUCGAAUCCGGCACACUCGCC